GCUGGUGGAGACACAUGUGCACGGUUAGCAAGUCGCAAAUCCACACACCUGUGCAUUUUAUGACUCUGAGUCGCCGUUUUGCGUGGUCCCUCACCGGGCCUGGUGACUCGAGUACUUUUACACACUCUUGAAUGUAAUGGAAUGUCUAUUGUGCAUAAUGUACAACUAAAACAACUUUCAACAACGGAUCUCUUGGCUCUCGCAUCGAUGAAGAACGCAGCGAAAUGCGAUAAGUAAUGUGAAUUGCAGAAUUCAGUGAAUCAUCGAAUCUUUGAACGCACCUUGCACCCUUUGGUAUUCCGAAGGGUACACCCGUUUGAGUGUCAUUGUAAUCUCACUACAACUGCUUUUGUUGUUGUACGUGGAAUUGGAUGCUGCCGUGUAACCAAUGGCUCGUCUGAAAUGCCUGAGUGUAUCCUGCUUUGCGGCGUAUUCGGUGUGAUACAUCUUCACCGGAGUUUGAUCCUUUUCGGGUUGCGUCUGCUUAACUAUGGCUCUAUGCUUCAAACCGUCUUGACAAGACAAUACUCUGACAAUUUGACCUCAAAUCGGGUGGGACUACCCGCUGAACUUAAGCAUAUCAAUAAGCGGA
rnacentral:rRNA from 1 species